rnacentral:rRNA from 1 species
UAGGGAAUUUUCCACAAUGGGCGAAAGCCUGAUGGAGCAACGCCGCGUGCAGGAUGAAGGUCUUCGGAUUGUAAACUGCUUUUAUAUGUGACGAAUAUGACGGUAGCAUAUGAAUAAGGAUCGGCUAACUCCGUGCCAGCAGCCGCGGUCAUACGGGGGAUCCAAGCGUUAUCCGGAAUUACUGGGCGUAAAGAGUUGCGUAGGUGGCAUUGUAAGUUGGUAGUGAAAGCGUUCGGCUCAACCGAAUAAACAUUACCAAAACUGCAAAGCUAGAGGAUGAGAGAGGUUAUUGGAAUUGCUAGUGUAGGAGUGAAAUCCGUAGAUAUUAGCAGGAACACCGAUGGCGUAGGCAGAUAACUGGCUCAUUCCUGACACUAAGGCACGAAAGCGUGGGGAGCAAACGGGAUUAGAUACCCGGGUAGUCC